GAUGAACGCUGACAGAAUGCUUAACACAUGCAAGUCUACUUGAAUUUGGGUUUUUAACUUAGGUUUGGGUGGCGGACGGGUGAGUAACGCGUAAAGAACUUGCCUCACAGCUAGGGACAACAUUUAGAAAUGAAUGCUAAUACCUAAUAUUAUGAUAAUAGGGCAUCCUAUAAUUAUGAAAGCUAUAUGCGCUGUGAGAGAGCUUUGCGUCCUAUUAGCUAGUUGGUAAGGUAAAGGCUUACCAAGGCGAUGAUAGGUAGCCGGCCUGAGAGGGUGGACGGCCACAAGGGGACUGAGAUACGGCCCUUACUCCUACGGGAGGCAGCAGUGGGGAAUAUUGGACAAUGGAGGAAACUCUGAUCCAGCAAUUCUGUGUGUGUGAAGAAGGUCUUCGGAUUGUAAAACACUUUUAGUUGGGAAGAAACAAAUGACG
rnacentral:rRNA from 1 species